rnacentral:rRNA from 1 species
UAAUACAGAGAGUGCAAGCGUUAAUCGGAAUUACUGGGCGUAAAGCGUGCGUAGGUGGAUACUUAAGUCGAAUGUGAAAGCCCUGGGCUUAACCCGGGAACUGCAUCCGAUACUGGGUAUCUAGAGUAUGGUAGAGGGAAGUGGAAUUUCCGGUGUAGCGGUGAAAUGCGUAGAUAUCGGAAAGAACACCAGUGGCGAAAGCGGCUUCCUGGACUAAUACUGACACUAAGGCACGAAAGCGUGGGGAGCAAACAGG